rnacentral:rRNA from 1 species
GACGUGGGGCGCGAGCGUUGUCCGGAUUUAUUGGGCGUAAAGAGCUCGUAGGCGGCUUGUCGCGUCGACUGUGAAAACCCGCGGCUUAACUGCGGGACUGCAGUCGAUACGGGCAGGCUAGAGUUCGGUAGGGGAGACUGGAAUUCCUGGUGUAGCGGUGAAAUGCGCAGAUAUCAGGAGGAACACCGGUGGCGAAGGCGGGUCUCUGGGCCGACACUGACGCUGAGGAGCGAAAGCGUGGGGAGCGAACAGG